UUUAAACUUUCUUGUUUUUUUAAAUUUCUCACAAUUUAAAUCUUUUUCUAAUUUCCCCUUCCAUUCAGGUGGAAAAUGUGUGCAUUUCCGCUCCGUACAUGUCUCGGACGUAAGAACGUAUCUCAAUUUCAAUUUGAGCCCUGUUUAACGUAUAUAUUCAUGGUUUCUAAGGCUCAUGCGAGGAUCGAGAUACGCCCUUACAUCGGAGGAGCGACGAAACGACGAUAUGUAUACGAUUCGAUUUCCGGCCGGGCUAUGGUUUCCGGUCCAGAAUUACGUUAUUUGGAAUGAAAUAAAUUGAAUGAACUGAACUGAAUCUAGUUCUCUCCUCUGAAUUCUGAUUGGCUAGAAGAGUAGGAUGACGAAAUAUCUCAUAUGAGUCGUCGUAUGUUUAUGUGCGAACGAAGCGAACGUCCAUUAGUGCCAUUAGUGGCAAGGAAUUGUUUUCUUUGUGGUAUCAACUUGUUUCUGCGUAUCAAGCUUAUCAGAAUCUUAUUCAGUUGUUUCUUUUUUUCAAGAAGAAGUUGUAAGCUGUGCUUUGAUCAUCAGAAUUUUAUAGUCUUGGUUCCGAAUCAAGUAUAAAUCAAUGAAAAAUGGCGAAAGGAAAAAAAGGGAAACAGCAGUCUGGCCCAUCUCAAGGAGAUCCAGCGACUUCUGAUGGUCAACAGCCUGAACAGAGCUCUGUUGGCAGGGGUCAGUCUGGUCAACAGUACCAUUCAGGUUCUGUAGGCAGAGGCCAGGCUGGUCAACAGUACCAUUCAGGUUCUGUUGGCAGAGGCCAGGCUGGUCAACAGUACCAUUCAGGUUCUGUUGGCAGAGGCCAGCCUGAUCAACAGUCCCAUUCAGGUUCUGUAGGCAGAGGCCAGCCUGGUCAACAGUACCAUUCAGGUUCUGUAGGCAGAGGCCAGCCUGGUCAACAGUACCCUUCAGGCUCUGUAGGAAGAGGCCAGCCUAGUCAACAGUACCAUUCAGGUUCUUUAGGCAGAGGUCAGCAUGAUGGUCAACAGAGUUCUCAUGGUAGAGGUCAGCCACCCCAAAGUGGUCCUUAUCAAGGUCAGCCACCUCAGGGAGUCCAGUUCUCUGGUCAGCAACAACAGAAAGGCCCGCACCAAAGUCAGCAACAGCAGAAAGGCCCACAACAAGGUCAGCAACAGCAAAAAGGCCCGCAACAAGGUCAGCAGCAGCAAAAAGGCCCGCAUCAAGGUCAGCAACAGCAACAAGGUCAGUCACCUCAGGGAGUCCAGUUCCCAAGUCAGCAACAGCAAAAAGGCCCGCAACAAGGUCAGCAACAGCAAAUAGGCCUGCAACAAGGUCAGCCACCUUUGGCUCAGCAGCUCCAACCUUCAGGAGAGGACAAGUCUCAAAAGCCUUCCUCUCACUCAGGUACUCGGUGAUAAUCUUCCUCAGACUUCCAAGUUAUCAUUGUAACUUUUCUUUGAGAAAAAGUCAAUCUCAAAUCUGUGUUAUUAUGAAUUUAUGUACCAAAGACGACUCUUGAGAACGAGAAUGGGUUUGUUGCAAACUUUUGCUGGAGCAAAAAUAAAAGUUUUUCUUUCUAGAACAUGUCUCAGAAAUCACAAUGAGUGCAUCGGCAAAGUCUGAAAUGCACCCUUAACUUCAUAAUCUGCGCAAGGAAUUUGCGUUUUUUUCUAGCUUGCCGCUUCAGAAACGAUACUACAGCACAGGUGAACAUUUUGUAAGAGGAAACGUUCCAUUUAACCUUUGCACACCAGAAUACUACAUAAUAUGGCUGAUGUCUCCGCUCGUAAAUUGUGAGGAAGCAACAUGGUCUUUAUCAAUGCAAGGAAAUGUAAACAUAAAUAUCCCAGUUGAUAAAAUCCUGUCUUGACCUGUGUGUUUUGGCGAGUUGGUGUCGGCCAUGUUAAAUAUUGCAAAGCAUCCUGGUGGGCAAGGGUUGAAUGAAACAAUUCCUUUUACUGAAUUUUCACCUGUGCUGAAGUAUCCUUUUUUGAAGCGGUAUCCUGAAAAGGAACGCAUAAGUAUCUCUCACGCAGAUUGUGAAGUUAGGAGUGUAUUUCAGACUUUUCCGAAGCGCUCAUCCUGAUUUUUGAGCCAUUUCUUAUGAGGAACACCUUUUCGUUUUGUUCUAGCUGAUGUUUGAAACAGGUCCAUUCAUGUUAAGAAUUUUUAAAUUUUAAUCUAAAGAAAAGAAAACUUAGCAAACUGUAUCAUAAUUCAAAGAUUAUUUUAUUAAAUGCUUUUUUAUUCAGGUAGAAAAAAUCCAUUAAACAGUGAAGAAGUUUGAAUUUUUUGCAGUGGCCCCCUUUCUCCUAGUGCAUUUAAGUGCUGAUAUCAACAGCAAAUACCACUGUAUCAAUGCUGCAGCUUUUCCGGCAAUAAAGUAAAAUUAUGCAAUGUUCAAUCCAAUUGGUUUAUUUAUUUAUUUUUCCUGCUAGAAACUCAUAAAACAAUAUAAAUUGAUGAUCUAUGGCUAAGGAACAAUACCGCUCAUCUGCAAACUGACGAUUUUGCAGGAAAAAAAAAACUUGGCAAUUUUUGUAAUUUUGAGAUCAGAUUUAAUAUUUUUUUUUAGAAUUCAGCGUCAUUACACAGCUCCCAUGUGA
rnacentral:lncRNA from 1 species